CGGAACCUGAGGUUUGGGAAGACUAAUCGAGGCUCACCCAGAAGCUGCUGAAUGGAGGACCAAGUCUAUCCGAAACUAUGAUAAACUAUUGGAGCUUUUUGCAGCUGAUAGAGCAAAUGGGGAACUUGCUGAAACUGCGGCUGAGAUACGAGAAAGGAGGAGGGAUUUUAGUGCAAGCAAUGGCUUUGAUUCUCAUACAAUUGAGGACAUCGAUGGUAUGGUUUCUCGACAUGAAAUUUUGUUAGAGAAUUUCGAUAGGAUUAAUGAUGAGGACCCAAAUGACAACAAUGAUGAACAUGUGAUUACCCCUGAAACCAAAUCAACUGCAAAUUCACAAAAGAAAACUAGAAAAUCGAAGGACGAAAUUUCUAUUGUUGAUCAGGAGGUGAUAAAGGGUAUGCAGAGGAUAGCUGAGGCAAUUGAAUCCACUGGUGAUAAAUACAUACAAGCUCUUGAACGUGCUCCAAUGAAAAGUAGUGAUGUUUGGAAUCAUUUGCUUGAACUUGGUGUUGAGACUGCUCAAAUUAAACAAGCAUAUCUUUUCCUAACUAAGCAUCCAGAGGAUCUAAAAGCUUUGCUUGGAUGUCCAUUGGAAGAGCGCAAGGAACUUCUUAUGAUGAUGUUAUCUUGAGAAUCUAUUGUUAUUUAUUUUUGUAAGUUGUAUUGCCGAAUUUGAUUAUCUGUGGCAAUUACAAACUUGUUUGUUUUUGUGUUGCUUAUGGCAAAACUUAGUAUGCAUGUGGUCAUAUUUUGCUAGAAACAUGUGCUAAUUGCAAAACUUUGAUUUUAUGAAUUAUGUUCCUUUUUUAUGUAAGUUGUUUUUGCCUA